rnacentral:tRNA from 1 species
AUUUCUCUAGUAUAAACAAUACAAGUGAUUUCCACUCACUUAAUCCCGCUUAACGCGGGGAGAAACA